rnacentral:lncRNA from 1 species
UUUACUAUCCUCUUGUCACAUGCAACAAAAUUGACUUUCAUCUAAUACAACCAACAUUCUCACACACAAAUGUCAUCACAAGGACUUUUCAAGACUUAUGACGUGGCUGGGCUAACAAGAAACAUUGGUUUUUCAGAUCACAAAAUCCUUGAGUUAAGAGAGUUUAUUCAAUAUGCAUAUUUCAAGCACACACUCUCUUUCAACCAAUUUACUUAUUCCCA